GAUGAACGCUGGCGGCGUGCCUAAUACAUGCAAGUCGAACGAAACUUCUUUAUCACCGAGUGCUUGCUCUUACCGAUAAAGGGUUGAGUGACGAACGGGUGAGUAACACGUGGGCAACCUGCCCCAACGAGGGGGAUAACAUAUGGAAACAGGAGCUAAUACCGCAUAACCAUCAUUACCGAAUGGUAACUAUGUAAAAGGUGGCUAUUCUACCGCUUUUGGAUUGGCCCGCGGCGCAUUAGCUAGUUGGUAGGGUAAAGGAUUACCAAGGCAAUGAUGCGUAGCCGAAUUGAGAGGUUGAUCGGCCACAUUGGGACUGAGACACGGCCCAAACUCCUACGGGAGGCCGCAGUAGGGAAUCUUCCACAAUGGGCGAAAGCCUGAUGGAGCAACGCCGCGUGGGUGAAGAAGGUCUUCGGAUCGUAAAACCCUGUUGUUAGAGAAGAAAGUGCGUGAGAGUAACUGUUCACGUUUCGACGGUAUCUAAACAGAAAGCCACGGCUAACUACGUG
rnacentral:rRNA from 1 species